GGGGAAUAUUGGACAAUGGGCGCAAGCCUGAUCCAGCCAUGCCGCGUGAGUGAUGAAGGCCCUAGGGUUGUAAAGCUCUUUCAACGGUGAAGAUAAUGACGGUAACCGUAGAAGAAGCCCCGGCUAACUUCGUGCCAGCAGCCGCGGUAAUACGAAGGGGGCUAGCGUUGUUCGGAAUUACUGGGCGUAAAGCGCACGUAGGCGGAUUGGUCAGUUAGGGGUGAAAUCCCAGGGCUCAACCCUGGAACUGCCUUUAAUACUGCCGGUCUAGAGUCCGAGAGAGGUGAGUGGAAUUCCGAGUGUAGAGGUGAAAUUCGUAGAUAUUCGGAGGAACACCAGUGGCGAAGGCGGCUCACUGGCUCGGUACUGACGCUGAGGUGCGAAAGCGUGGGGAGCAAAC
rnacentral:rRNA from 1 species